rnacentral:pre_miRNA from 1 species
AAACUACUCCGUCUGUUCCAUAAUUCUUGUCGAAAUAUUACAUGUACCUAGACGGUUUUUAGGAAUAGAUACAUACACUUUUGGGCAAAUUUGAGACAAGAAUUAUGGAACGGAGGGAGUAUUCU